rnacentral:lncRNA from 1 species
UGAGGGGCAGCCCUAGCUCCUGAAAGAGUAGAAAUAGUGCAGUGGGGCCAGCACAGGGGUGAGUAAUGGAGAUGUAAUCUCUUCCUGACAGAUGUCCUGUGAGCUUUGGUGAGAGCCUAUAAGGAAACCUGAAAGCAGAGUCUAGAAAUGCAAAUGCCUGAGAGUUUCCUUGCUGGGAGUAAUGAAUCAGACACUUCAUGGCAGGAAUGAUUGCUGGAUGUUAGCGGGACUGUUAGAGCUAUUACAGUGAGCUAAGCAUGAAGAUGCCCAGGAGCUGAACGAAGUGGGUUCGUGGAUAUGAAUCAACUGAAGAUGAAGCUAAGAAACAAGUGAUAUUGAUUACAGUAAUCGGGGGCUGGAUUUUUCCUGUAUCUUCUCUGAGCAUGUGGAAGAAGAAAAAAGAGCAUAUACUACUGUUGCAGAGGUGAAGAGACUAUUAGAUCAGUGAUUCCCAGCUGAUCAGUUGCCUCACUGGUGAGGUACAAGCACACUUGCAGGUAAGGUAUGAUGCAAAGAUCAAAUGAAUGGGUUCUGUUGAACUAUGCUGGCCCAGUGUGGGGGGGUCAG